CAGGCACAAAAGAGGACCAGGAAGGGGCAGGCCUGCCACAGGAGCCGGCCACGUGUGCCCAGCCUUUUCUUCCAUUUCAGAGAUUUCAUGGCAGUGUUCCUGCAAUGGGAACAGGCUGAAAAAUCUGAUCAUGCUCAAGUGGUCACCCAGUUCUCAUCUUGGGCUUUAUUGUAGGACUAUAAUUGGUGUCACUGGCCAGAAGGGCCAAGUGUGGAUAAACGAUGCAGGAAGAUGAGAAUUCUGUCUCAGCCAAGCAGUGAGCAAUUGUCAGUGCAUAUCGGAAAGGUACCUGUGGUGCUGGAGAGUCUGCUGAGAACAAGGAUGGGAGUCAUUGCUCUGCAAAGCUUACAUUUCAGAGGGUCAAGAAGAUAGAAGACACUAUAUGAAU